CGCCCAACCUGGAGAGACGGGGGAAGAAUCCUUCCAGAAGAAUUUGCAGGCGUGGAUUGGGGUACUGUGCUUCGUGCCUGUUCAAGGAUCUAUCUCAUCCUGUCCUCCCAGCAAUCCAUUAAGGCACCCAGCUGUGUGGCAGAGCCAUAAAGGAAACAGGACAAGAAGUUGCCCCUUAUCUGUGUUCCCAUGAUAGUCAGAGACCAUGGAGUAUAUGUAGAUUUUAUCUGCAAUUGUAUAUUCUGCUCUAUAACCAUUUGCCUUAUGCACCUCACCAAAACUCAAAUGCAGGAUCAAAAGUUUAAAGUUUAAUCAAGUGUAUUUUUUCAUGAUUCUAAUAGAAUUUUUAACCCUGGCUUUAGGUGAUGUUUCUUCUUUGCUAAGAUCCAAGGGGAAGCGCUUGAGGUUGGAAGAAUCCUUUGGUCAAAGGGUUCCAUAUCCAAAAGAAUAACCAAGACUCCAGAUAGGAAAUGCCUUGAGGAGUCUUUGACCUUGAGCUGAUGGGACCAAGUACCUUGCCCCUAGCAAGAGCCUUGCCAGGGCUCCAUCUCACACUCAUUCUGAACCUCACUUAUUCACUCUCCACAAGAGCCACAUCCCCUCACUCCAUUAAAAAAAAAAAGAAAAACCUUUAUUUUUGUCUCAUAAUUAUAAAAUUAUGUGUAUCUAUUUUUUUAUAUUUGACCAGAUGUGAAAAAA